UACAGGGGGGGCAAGCGUUGUUCGGAAUUACUGGGCGUAAAGGGUCUGUAGGUGGCCAACUAAGUCAAACGUGAAAUCCCUCAGCUUAACUGGGAACUGCGUCUGAUACUGGAUGGCUCGAGUGUGGGAGAGGAAUGCGGAAUUCCAGGUGUAGCGGUGAAAUGCGUAGAUAUCUGGAGGAACACCGGUGGCGAAGGCGGCAUUCUGGACCACAACUGACACUGAGAGACGAAAGCCAGGGGAGCAAACGGG
rnacentral:rRNA from 1 species